GGAUUGUGGCUCAGUGGUAGAGGGCUUGCCUAGCAUGUGUGAGGUACUGGGUUCAAUUCCCAGCACCA
rnacentral:tRNA from 1 species